GUGGUGAGGGAGAAAUAUGGUGGGGAUUUGGUUAGGCCGGGCAUUACUCAAUUUGCCACCAACUACAUUACCCUAAAGAGCUUUGAGGCAAAGAAGGUAGGACUCAGAUCUAUGUUUGCUUUAGAGUAGUAGUAUAGUUGGAGGGAGU